GACAAAACCGGAGGAAGGUGGGGAUGACGUCAAGUCAUCAUGGCCCUUACGGCCUGGGCUACACACGUGCUACAAUGGUCGGUACAAAGGGUUGCCAAGCCGCGAGGUGGAGCUAAUCCCAUAAAACCGAUCGUAGUCCGGAUCGCAGUCUGCAACUCGACUGCGUGAAGUCGGAAUCGCUAGUAAUCGUGAAAUCAGAAUGUCACGGUGAAUACGUUCCCGGGCCUU
rnacentral:rRNA from 1 species